rnacentral:rRNA from 1 species
AUUGAACGCUGGCGGCAUGCUUUACACAUGCAAGUCGAACGGUAACAGGCCUUCGGGUGCUGACGAGUGGCGAACGGGUGAGUAAUGCAUCGGAACGUGCCCAGAGGUGGGGGAUAACGCAGCGAAAGCUGUGCUAGUACCGCAUGUGAUCUGAGGAUGAAAGCGGGGGACCAGGCAGCAAUGUUUGGCCUCGCGCCUUUGGAGCGGCCGAUGUCAGAUUAGGUAGUUGGUGGGGUAAAGGCCUACCAAGCCGACGAUCUGUAGCUGGUCUGAGAGGACGACCAGCCACACUGGGACUGAGACACGGCCCAGACUCCUACGGGAGGCAGCAGUGGGGAAUUUUGGACAAUGGGCGCAAGCCUGAUCCAGCAAUGCCGCGUGCGGGAAGAAGGCCUUCGGGUUGUAAACCGCUUUUGUACGGAACGAAAAGGCUCUGGCUAAUACCUGGGGCUGAUGACGGUACCGUAAGAAUAAGCACCGGCUAACUACGUG